rnacentral:rRNA from 1 species
AUUGAACGCUGGCGGCAGGCUUAACACAUGCAAGUCGAGCGGAGAGAGGUAGCUUGCUACCGACCUUAGCGGCGGACGGGUGAGUAAUGCUAGGAAUCUGCCUAUUAGUGGGGGACAACCUUUCGAAAGGAAUGCUAAUACCGCAUACGUCCUACGGGAGAAAGCAGGGGAUCUUCGGACCUUGCGCUAAUAGAUGAGCCUAAGUCGGAUUAGCUAGUUGGUGGGGUAAAGGCCUACCAAGGCGACGAUCUGUAGCGGGUCUGAGAGGAUGAUCCGCCACACUGGGACUGAGACACGGCCCAGACUCCUACGGGAGGCAGCAGUGGGGAAUAUUGGACAAUGGGCGCAAGCCUGAUCCAGCCAUGCCGCGUGUUCGAAGAAGGCCUUAUGGUUGUAAAGCACUUUAAGCGAGGAGGAGGCUACUUUAGUUAAUACCUAGAGAUAGUGGACGUUACUCGCAGAAUAAGCACCGGCUAACUCUGUGCCAGCAGCCGCCGUAACAC